rnacentral:lncRNA from 1 species
GCGAAGUUGCGCGCCCGGACUUCUGCCGGGCAUGUGCAGUAAGGAGGUGGGGGCCACCUCCCCGCGAGCUGCGUGGUGGCGCCGAGCCUGUGGCGCAGACCCUAGUGGGCCGGCAGGUGGCAGGAGGGAACCUUGUUUGAAAGGAUUUGGGCGAAGCGAUGGGCGGGGGGCCUGGCGGGUGGCAAGGAGCAAGCGGCAAGCUAGCCCCAGGUCCAGUACUUGGGCAGGUGGGCGCAGGCUCCCGUGGGGUCGUGCCCCUCCCCAGUUUCCCCAGUUAUUGGGGAAAUAAACACAGCCUGGGAGCAGCUAAAAACCCAGAACCCCAAAUAGCAAAUAUUCAGGGGAAUGAGGGUCUGUCUAUACACGAGUAUUAAGCCUCUAGCAUUUUCCAAUGGCUUAAUAGUUUGAGGAUGGUAACUUCGGGCAGCCAUUAAUCAUGAAACUACCUUUAGCAGAUCUGUUAUAGUGACUGUAAUUAGAAAAGUUUCCAAACAAUACGUGCUCAAACAGUCUGAAUUGGCUAAUUACCUCAUCUUCUUCAACAAGGGCCCCCACGGUUGAGGUAGUAGUUUGCAAGUCUGCAAGCCCAUCUGAGGACUGCCCUGAGCUCGAUUGAGCUGAGAAGGUGGUGCUGGAAGUGGACUGGAGCUGAGAGCAUGGGUAAAGGGAAGUCUUUCCUGCGCUCUCAGUUCACACAACCACUUCUCUCCUGCGGGGCAGUUCAGGGUGACACGGAAUCCUCACUGGAGGCCCCUUACAGCCAUUUCCUAGGUAGGUUUUUUUUUUUUUUUUUUUUUUUUUGAGACAGAAUCUUGCUCUGUCACCCAAGCUGGAGUGCACUGAUGUGAUCUUGGGUCACUGCAACCUCUGCCUCCUGGCUUCAAGAGAUUCUCCUACCUAAGCCUCCUGAGUAGCUGGGAUUACAGGCGUGCACCACUACGCUCGGCUAAUUUUUGUAGUUUUAGUAGAGAGGGGUUUCGCCAUAUUGGCCAGGCUGGUUUCAAACUCCUGACCUCAAGUGAUCCGCCCGCCUCGGCCUCCCAAAGUGCUGGGAUUACAGGCGUGAGCCACCGCGCCCGGCUCCUAGAUAGGUUUUUAACAAAGGUAACUCAGCAAUACUCAUUGGGUGCCUUGCAUGUGCCAAGCUGUGUUUUAGGUGCUGAAGGUAGAGUAGUGAACAACAACAACAAAAGUAUUGUAUUAAGGAAAGGAUAUUUUGGAUUAAUUUGCUGUGAAUCAGGAGAUUGAAUCAGUCAGAAUCCCUCUGUACCCACCAACAUUGUUUAAUCUAGCUUGAAUUCCACAUGAGAAAAUGAUUGGAUCAGGGCUAGGGGGCGGUCAGACACCACUAGAUCGUGUUGUUGUACUCUGCAAGGCUGAAGAUUUGGAGUAAAUAGUGCCGCUCUUUCUUGGCCCUAGAAAAUCAAAUGAUGGCCUACAGGAGGAGAUCCCUACAGUGGGAGCUAACCUGGCUGCUGCUUUUGAGGUGUGCGUGUCUUCAGUCUGGCCCUCCAUGAUGAUUAUGGGGUGCCUUUUUGGCCAUAGUGACAAGUCCAAAGGCGAAACAACUCAGAGCAAAGCCAUCAUCCUAAAAUCCCUGGGAGUAUCAAGAAGGUUGUUUCACUUAGGACACAUGUCAUGGGUUGUGGUCCUUUUCUCCUUCUUGAGUCAGUAUGGGGAAUCUUAAAAAAAGAGGCUCUACCACUGGGUGGCCCACCAGGCCCUCCUGGUACUGGUACUUCUGCCUGGUGUCUGAAGAGUCAGUCAGGUACCCACAGCCAUUCUCACCAUGAUGGAACUUAACCUCACACCUUCAACACCACACCCGUAUUAAAACCACUAAGUGCAGAGUUCAUACCCCAGUGAGAGACCAGCAACUGCUUUGGAUGUGUUGAGGUUUUCCUUUCUGCAUCUUGGCUGUGUCUAGCUUGUAUCUUGCACUCUGUGUUAGUUUGUAGCAUUAAAAUAGUGAUUGGGCUGGGCAUGGUGGCUCUCACCUAUGAUCCCAGCACUUUGGGAGGCCGAGGCGGGUGGGUCACUUGAGGCCAGGAGUUCAAGACCAGCCUGACCAACAUGGUGAAAUCCUGUCUCUACUAAAAAUACAAAAAUUAGCCAGGCGUGUUGACGCACGCUUGUAGUUCCAGCUACUCGGGUGGCUGAGCCACAAGAAUUGCUUGAACCUGGGAGGUUAGUCUGAUAAAGUAGGAUUGACUUGUCAAACCCCACAAAAGGACAAAUGUCUAUGUUCCAGUUGUGCCCUGCUCUACCACUUUUCCUGUGGAACAGCAAGGGUUUUAUUAUCACAGGUGCCUGCGUGGCUGUAGUCACUGUGUGGAUAUUAUCAUGGGACACUGGGCAGGGGCAUUUAGAGCUGUAUAUUUCAAAUCCUCAUCUCCGCUUCUGAGUCCCAACUAAUGGGGCACGUUUCCAGAGAGUCUGCCUACACUGACCCACCCACUUUAUUUCUUCUAAUUAGCACAGCUCCAUCGACAGCAUAUGGAACAGAAAUAUAUUAUUCAAGCUGAUUUCAGGGCACGUUGGGGGAAAAAUCAGGAAUAUAUGGGUGCUAGUAAAUGCCCUUUGAAUGGAAACUAAUGUCAGCUGUCAGCAACGAGGUAGAUUAUGAUUCUUUAGUGUACAUAAGAAAGUACUUCAUUCUUCAGAUGGAGUGCUUUUAUGCCUAUAAAGGAGAUGGCAGCCCAGAGCUGAUUCACUAAUAUAGAUACACCGAGAUUGCCUGCAUUAUUAAAAAAUGUGCAUUACAUAAUACAUAUAUUUGGACUAGAUUCUGCAUUAGCAAUGCGCUUUCUUUGCAAGAUGCAUUUUAAUCAGCAAACACACAUUUAACAAAAGACUGCAUUUUUGAGCCCCAGUCCUGUGUAGUUAUAAAUACAUCUCAGUGUACAUUCACCACAGGCUCUGGGAGGAAGGAGUGGGGGACUGCACUGAGAUGCCAUUCCAUCUCACACUUAGUGCCGAGGUCGAGCAAAUGGAGCCGUACAGCAGAUGCUCUUUAAAAUGCAUUACGUGCGUGACUUUAAAAAGUGCUCGCUGCAGAGUGAAUUUCAAAAAGGAGCAAGUGGGUGAUGAACCACCUCUGUUGUUACCGGGCUGAGGAACAAGGGGCUCUCUCUGUCUGCUGGUAAAUAAAGUAUGGGCAUAUAUCACUUGCGGGUCUCUGCUGGAGGGAGGCUCCUAAACCAGUUGGACAGGAAAGCGCAGUUCCCAGCUCACUACAGUAUCAUACAGUAAGCUUCUGAUUCGGAUAAAUUGUGAAGAAUAUUGUCUCUAGCUCCUUAAAGGAUUUUCAUGUGGAAGAGGCCUUAAGAUUUAUUAUAUAUGGCUCUAGAGGGCAAAAUUAGAACCUAUCGGUGGUAGUUGUAGCAGAAAGCCUUCAGCGCAACCCAAAGAAGAAUCUGACAUGGAGUGGGCUGUCAGAAAGUUGGCGCUUUGUCAGAAGCAAUGUGAAGUCAAAGGACAGGUAACCACACACUGGAGAUGUUUUUCGUGGUGUGCGUGAGCAAGUGGGGUUGGAACUCGGUGCCCACCGCAGUCUUAUCAGGUUAGCCUCUGAUUCCAUUGAAGGCCUCUGUAGGCUGUGGGAGAAGGGUUUGGGGGCUCUACUGAUGGACACGAUCCUCCCCCCCGCCCCCACUUUUUACUAUUUUGGAAGCAUUGAAAGUGCAAGUGGCUCAGUGACAGGAAGGAGUGUUGGGGUGGCAGUUUUAAGACAGGGCAAACAGAUGUGUGCAAUGGACCCAGCGGCCUGUGGAGCUUUCCUCACCAAGGCAGGGCGUGGAGGCUCUUUGCUCCACAACUCAUCACUUGUUGAAGCAAAGAAAUGAGUCAAGUCCAUCUGUUAAUUACAUUGGUUCUCUUUGCCUCCUCUCCUGGAGCUGUCUCGGAAAUUACAAAUGAAAUUGGCUAUUUAGCAAUCAUAAAUUGAGCCACUUCUAUGAUCAAGACACUAUUCCGGGCACUGUGGGGAGAUCGAAGUAAUUGAGGAUGAGCAAUUCCUGCCAUCCAACAUCACACACAUUGAUGUGAAGUGCCCCCAAAUAUUAAAACCAGAUUGCUGACAGGUGUAGAGUAAUACAUUCCAGCCCAGAUAGACAGGGAGGGAAGUUGAGUAACUGGUUAGAAUCAGAGGUACAGUUCAUCUUGUGAUUUUCAGAAAGAGAUGAGUCUUUACCUAGUCUGACUCUGAGAUUUUCUUUUGAUUUUUAAAAGCCCAUGAGAAUUGCUUUCAAUCCACUUGUUUCUAACCAUGUGUCUACCGUGUGCAAAGCCAUGUGCCAGUGGCCCUGGGGGAGACAGAUGAAUCAUGGGUUCUCAGAAGGCUUGCAGGCUAUUGUCAGAGGUCCCACAGACCUCAAUGCAUUUUCUAAGAUGAAACUCAAGAUAAUGGAUUGGUUCUGCCCUGCCUGGUGAGCGGGUAUAAUCACUCUUGAAGAUAUUUUUUGGAUAAUCAUUGGAAAGGACUAUUUUUGGAGAUGAAGAGCUUUUCCAACUUUCCUUUGGACAGAAAUGAAUUCAGGGAGUUUGCAGCACUCGCUACCCCUCACUGUGGCAAUCAGCCAGUAAGGCUCAACCCCACCGAGAAUUUGGUAUUGGCCCCUCCCGCCUGUUCCCCAGAGAGGACCAGGUACAAUGCAGAAGCAUUUGGCUCAGCUCUCUAGGGUGCUAUUUUGCUGCUAUUCAGACUGCGCUGAUAUCAAUUGGCUCUCACCAGUAGAAAUGGUGAAAACCUCGAGCUCCUGAUUUUGAGAUUUGGGGGAAUGCCAUCUAGAGCUAAAAGCAAACAAUAGAGGGAAAUAAUCACCUUUUUGACAUGGCUGGUUUCUGUCCAGGCCAUUUUUGGGAUUACAAUACUGUAUUUGUGCCAUUCGUUUUUAAAGGGCGUAGGAUCAGAAAGGAGCCUUCGUUCUGUGCGUAGAGAUUGCUCGGAGCUGUCUUCCCAGGAGCUCCCUUACUUUCUCUUCACUUCGUGCUCUGUUGAGCUUCUCCUACUGAUAAGUGCCUAUCUCCCUCUCUCUCCCUCUGCCACAGGAGGAGCAAUUUCUAGACUCUGGAUCCAACGGGAAGCAUCUAGAAGCCCCCUUGCUCAGGCAAAGCAUCAGUACCCAAGAGGGGUACAGGCCCUCUUGGACGUGGUGUCUCAUUUCUCUCCCGUGGCCCUGGAGCUUGGCAUUCUGUAUUCUCCGGUUCAGACCCUGGACUCUGACACCCUGCCUUGCUUCAUCUUGAGUUCCGGCUGUCUGCCCAGCCGGACCUACACUGAGCUUGUCUGGUUCUUUCCUGCAGCCAGUUGAGACAUCAUUGUCCCAGGACACCCCCAGUCUACGGGGUUCUGGCCCCAGAUGUCCACCUCUGCCCUGCCCACCAGCAGCCAUGCCAGCCAGUGAGCUGUGGGUGAAAACACUGCUGAUUGCAAAGGACCACUCAACCGUCAGGAAAGCUCUCGGCUCAUAGCUUUGUCUUUUGUCCAGCUGUCCUGGACAUCCUAUCUUUCCUCUAGCCCCUAGCCCUGACAGAGAGCCUCAAAGUUGUUUUCAUCUUAUCUGCUGAGGAUCUGACUCACCCCAUCAGACUUCUGGGAGGGAGAGAGCGAGCGCGCCUCGAGCCCGGAGGGGAGAAACCCUUAGUGUUGUCACGGUUUAGGCACACGCUCAUAGAAAUCCUUGCAGCUCGAGCUCUUCAAAAUAUGAUUAGACCAAUUUUACAUGUCUAGUCACUGAGGCUCCAGUAGAUUGGGACUAUUUCUAUAUGUGCAAAGUGAAGUGGAUAAUUGAGGCAAUUAUCUUCAGGCAAAUGAAUCUGGGCACUGUAAUCAGUCCAUCCUGAUAACUGGGGAGAAAUCGGCGUCAUUCACUGUAGCAUUGCUUUGCGUUAAAGAGAAUUCUAAGGUAUUUGUUUGUUAUUUUCGCUUGGCUUCAUUUUUCUAAAAGACAGUCCAGUGAAGAUGAGGUCCUGCCUCGUGCUGGUGUUAGGAUGUGUGGACCCCUUAGGUCUCAGUCAGGUGUGUGUGGGGUUGAUCUGGACGAGUUGAUAAUCAGAUCAGUGCCCUAGCCGGGUGCAUCCUUGGCUUCCUUGUGGUGGAUACUUGGUUUCCACAUCAGGGUUUUCUUUCCACUUCUUCUUUCCUUGUGUAUGAGAACCCUGAGGUGUUGGAUGGGUUGGUCUACAAGGUCACCUCCACUGCUAGGAUGAUAGGAUUCCUAAUAGGGCCCAUGAGUGACAUACAUUGUGCAUGAUAAAAUAUCAUGGAGCCAGGAGAAUGAAAGAAGGGCCUCUCAACGUCAGAAAUGAGAAUGCACUGGAGGCUGGUGAUUACUUCUGGACCCCCGCUUCCCCAUCCAUUGUUUCGGCUAAAAGUCAUCAUAAAUUGGGAGUCCUUCCCUUUACUGGUCUAGAAGUUCCCUCAGGAAGCAGCCGUCACUUCUCUCCCUGCUCUUCACUGAGGAGGGAGGGAAGAGGAGCAAGAGAAGACUUUCCGGUUUUCCAAAUGGCAGAUUUGGUUUCAGGCAUGUGAGGAGCCACAUAUAAAAAGAAAAGGCAUUGAGGCAUGUGAGAUUUGACUUAAGUGGAGGAGAUCCUCGCCUUUAAGCAAUAAUCUGUGUAUUUAGGGAGCCAAUGGCCCAGCAAGAAGUCCAGCAGUGCCUCCUGAGUGCCUGGGCACCUGGUGGAGAUGGUGCAGGGUCCCUGGCAAAAGAGCCUCUGGGACAGGAGUUGUAGCCGCCAGCCUGUGUCACACACUCACACUCACAAUUAGAGGACAACGGGAAUUUAAUUAACUUCCAAAGUGUGAUUUUUGACCAUAAGCAUUCUAGGAAUGAGGUGCUGUGUGGGGAUUGAGAUGAACCUUGGAAAAUACUUAAGGAGAGGCUUGUUUUAUGCUGUCAGGAAAUCUUCAUCUUGUCACUUCGUAAAUUUUUGACCUUGCUCAGUUAGUUAGAAAAACAAAAACAAAAGCUUCCUGUCCACAACUGAGAUAAGAGAGUUUUGCAAGACAUCUCUCUGUCCUCGGAGUGUUGUGGCCUUCUGUGGGUUCUGUAGUUUUAAUUGCUAGUGGUUUCAUUCCUGCUCAGUUAGUGAAAUUGCGACAUUUUCCCAGUAUCUUAGCGUGACUGCCCUACAGCCUUAAUAAUGAUGAUUUUAGACUGUAGUUUAAGAUCUGCUGGGGCAAAUGCCUUCUCACUGCACAGUAUCUCAGCAUUCUCUGAUGUUUUGUCCAUUUAUUUUUCUAUAUGAAUUUAAGAACCAUUUUUAUCAAGUUUUAUAAAUGACCUUGGUGAUAUUUUGACUGGAAUGGCGUUCAAUUUAUAAAUUAAGUUGGGAAAUAUUAUCAUCUUUUCUGCAUUUAGUCUUAAGCCAGAAGUAUGGCCUCUCAAUCUGUUCAGGUCACUAUUUCUCUCAUUAAGGAUUUGUGUUUUCUUCAUGUAAUUUUAAUAUAUCCUAUGUGAGUUUGAUAUGUGAAUAUAUAUCAUAUAUUUCCCAAGUAUUAGAUGCUUUUGUUGCAUUGUGAGUGGGCACUCUUUUUUUAAUUAUAUUUUCAGGCCUCUUAUUAUGUAUUUAUAGAAAUGGUAUUGAUUUUUGUACGUUUUUCUCAUCUUCUGCCACUUUCAGAAUUGGUUGGUUUUUGAGGCAACCAGCAGCCUACUCAGGCAAACACUCAGAGAAGGUUUCUGGAGGAUUUGGUAGAAGAGACUACCUCAUCAGGGAAAGAGUUGAACUAAGUCAGCGGUUCCCAAAUGCCAGUCCACAGUGAAAUGAGAAAACGAAAGAUGUUGUAGUGGGGCUUUCAUCAAGCCAAAUUUAUUCAGGGGAGGGACUUUUGAUUUUGAUUCUUGAUUUUGAGGCUAUAUAAGCUUCCUGCCUUUUAGAAUUUUGAUAUCAUUUCUUUCUAGAAGGAUUGUAGAUGAUAAUUAGGGGUUUUGUUUUGCUUUAAGAUUUUAGAGUCUUUGAAAAUAAAUAAAUCAGAAAUCCUUAUAAUAAAUGAAUGAAUGAAUGAAUGAAUAAAACUGCUUGAAUUCUACCCUCCCCAAAAGAUUUUAGAUCUUUUUUUGUUUUUGUUUUUUUUUGUUUUUGAGACAGAGUCUCGCUCUAUCGCCCAGACUGGAAUGCAGUGGCUCAAUCUCGGCUCACUGCAAGCUCCACCUCCCCGGUUCAUGCCAUUCUCCCGGCUAAUUUUGUUUUUGCUGAUGUUGUUUUUUAAAUUUUGCUUUUAUUUAGUUUUCAGUGACUUUAUCUAGCAGAUUUUUUUAAAAAAAAGCAAAACAGCUGGCAACCCGAUGUGAGUGCCACACAUUUCUUUUGAAAUAUUAGCGUGGUCUGGCCGGGCACAGUGGCUUAUGCCACUGUUCGUAGAUUUUGGUCUAAAAUCUCAAAAUCUAGGAACCUCCAAUUCGAUGUCCUUUGGGUUUUACAGUUGUGAUAUUUGGUAAAUCUGGACUUCUUUUUAUAUUUUAAAAUCAUUUUUAGUUUAUUCUUUUGGGUUCUUCUAGUUAGUAGUGCCAGUUAGAUUGAUGUUUUUGUUACUUAUUUUGGCUUUCUCUGACUUCAUCCUUUGUCUAUGCCUUGCGUUGUCCUCUGAAAGUGUGUAGGAGAGAGAAGGGUGAAAUGGGGGCACCCUCGUUUUAUAUCUGUUUUUAAAGGGAUUUUUCUCUAAUGUCUUUUCUCUGACAGUAUUUAGGUGGGCUUCAAAGGGAAAAUAGAUGGUAUCUUAUGAGAGGGCUCAACAGAAAGUUUGGAGGUGAGAAACCAGAAGCCAGAUUUGGGAUCACACAGGCCUGGAUAUAAAUCUUGCCUCCUUCUGCUUGCUAGCUGACCAGUGACUAUGCCUGGUGGCGGUGAUGGUGCUGGUUAUGAUGGUGGUGUAGCAUUGGU